rnacentral:sRNA from 1 species
GCAUUGGAAUCGCUGAACCGUGCAGUGCUCGCUGCCAUGGAUGCCACCAAGCUGGAGUAUGAGAGGGCCUCCAAAGUGGACCAGUUUGUGACACGCUUCCUGCUGCGGGAGACGGUGAGCCAGCUGCAAGCCCUGCAGAGCUCGCUGGAGGGGGCGUCAGAUACCCUGGAGGCCCAGGCCCAUGGCUGGCGUCCUCGGCCCUGUGAGCCUCACUUCCUCUAGGUCAGACGCAGAGAGCGUGGAGGCGCAGAGCAGGCUCUGCGGCAGCCGGCAGGCAGGACGCCGAGCCCUGAGGAGUGUCAGCCGGUCAUCCACCUGGUCCCCCGGCUCUUCUGACACAGGGCGCAGCUCAGAGGCCGAGAUGCAGUGGCGGCUCCAGGUGAACCGCCUCCAGGAGCUCAUCGACCAGCUCGAGUGCAAGGCCCCCCGGCUGGAACCCCUGCGUGAAGAGGACCUGGCCAAGGGGCCUGACUUGCACAUCCUCGUGGCCCAGAGGCAGGUCCAGGUGGCAGAGGAAGGCCUGCAGGACUUCCACCGAGCCCUGCGCUGCUACGUGGACUUCACAGGGGCCCAGAGCCAUUGUCUGCAUGUGUCCGCCCAGAAGAUGCCGGAUGGUGCCUCCUUCACCCUGUAUGAGUUCUGGCAGGAUGAGCCCUCCUGGAGAAGGCACCAGCAGUCGCCUGGCAGCAAGGCCUUCCAGCGCGUCCUCAUCGACCACCUGCGGGCCCCGGACACCCUCACCACUGUGUUCUUCCCAGCCUCCUGGUGGAUAAUGAAUAACAACUGAGCCAGACCUGCACACGCCGAGGGCCCCGGGACCCUGCCUGCCUCCCUCUGGAGCCUUCUGGACUGGCCAGCC